AUAGAAAUAAAUUUCUAAACUGUAAGGCUUUAACUAGUAUCAAAUGUCUAAAAUAAGAUAAUUCUCUGAUUAUAAUGACCUCAAGGGCCUAAAUUAAUAUUGAUCCAAAACUACAACAGCCAUACUUAUGUACACAUUGUAAAAGGUCUUCACGAAAUGAGAAACAUAAACCACCAGAACCAGUAUCACUUUCAGGAACUAAUUUAACUUUUUCAUUGGUUUGUUG
rnacentral:misc_RNA from 1 species